AGUAAAAUUGCUGGGUCACAUGGUAACUCUAAUUCAACAUUUUGAGGAGCUAACAAAUUGUUUUCCAAAGCACCUAUACCAUUCUUAAUCUCACCAGCAAU
rnacentral:pre_miRNA from 1 species